rnacentral:misc_RNA from 1 species
AACGCACAUUGCGCCUCUCUCGUAGGGAGGCAUGCCUGUCUGAGCGUCAUUUAAACCAAAUGGGAAUUUAGGUUCCCGUGUUGGGCCUCGCCUUUGGGCGUAGCCUCAAGGCCAUCGGUCUAACGAGCGGGCGAGUUCCUCUAGGACGGACCGAUCGAAGACCCCGAUUAUCUCUGAUUUGACCUCAGAUCAGGUAGGAACACCGCCUGAACUUAA